rnacentral:lncRNA from 1 species
AUGAAUCCUUUCGUAACUCAUUCCAAUAGAACACAAAAUUCGUUUAGCCUCGUAGGUUCGACUGAGAAGUUCAUUAUCAUCUGGCAACAUAUCUUUUAUGAGUGUUAAUAAUUCUGUAAAGCUUUUAUCAGACCAUCCAUUAUUCGCUUUUAAGUUGUACAACUUUAAUAUCGCUGACAGUCUUGUGAAUUUAGUACAACCAUUAGAUAAUUCUUUCUCUGCAUCACUCAACAAACUUUCAAACAUUUUAGGACAAUCUCGAAGAUCUUCUUCAACUGCUUUUGCAAUCUCAUCAACUCGGUCCGGCUCAUAUGUAUCUGUAUCGAAGUCAAUUGAAGCAUAUGUCGAAC